UACGUAGGGUGCGAGCGUUGUCCGGAAUUACUGGGCGUAAAGAGCUCGUAGGUGGUUUGUCGCGUUGUUCGUGAAAACUCACAGCUUAACUGUGGGCGUGCGGGCGAUACGGGCAGACUGGAGUACUGCAGGGGAGACUGGAAUUCCUGGUGUAGCGGUGGAAUGCGCAGAUAUCAGGAGGAACACCGGUGGCGAAGGCGGGUCUCUGGGCAGUAACUGACGCUGAGGCGCGAAAGCGUGGGGAGCAAACGGG
rnacentral:rRNA from 1 species